rnacentral:pre_miRNA from 1 species
AGUACAAUUGCUGGGUCAUAUGGUAACUCUAUGUUUAACUUUUUGAGGAACUACUAAGCUAUUUUCCACAGUGGCUGUAUCAUUUUACUUUCCUGUUAGCAAU